rnacentral:rRNA from 1 species
AUCUCAGUUCAGACUGCAGGCUGCAACUCGCCUGCACGAAGUCGGAAUUGCUAGUAAUCGCGGAUCAGCAUGCCGCGGUGAAUACGUUCCCGGGCCUUGUACACGCCGCCCGUCACACCAUGGGAGCCGGUAAUACCCGAAGUCAGUAGUCCAACCUCGUGAGGACGCUGCCGAAGGUAGGAUUGGCGACUGGGGUGAAGUCGUAACAAGGUAUC